CCUACGGGUCGCAGCAGUGAGGAAUAUUGGUCAAUGGACGAGAGUCUGAACCAGCCAAGUAGCGUGAAGGAUGACUGCCCUAUGGGUUGUAAACUUCUUUUAUAAGGGAAUAAAACGCGUCACGUGUGCCUUUUUGCAUGUACUUUAUGAAUAAGGAUCGGCUAACUCCGUGCCAGCAGCCGCGGUAAUACGGAGGAUCCGAGCGUUAUCCGGAUUUAUUGGGUUUAAAGGGAGCGUAGGUGGGUUGUUAAGUCAGUUGUGAAAGUUUGCGGCUCAACCGUAAAAUUGCAGUUGAGACUGGCAGUCUUGAGUACAGUAGAGGUAGGCGGAAUUCGUGGUGUAGCGGUGAAAUGCUUAGAUAUCACGAAGAACCCCGAUUGCGAAGGCAGCUUACUAGACUGCAACUGACACUGAUGCUCGAAAGUGUGGGUAUCAAACAGGAUUAGAUACCCCAGUAGUC
rnacentral:rRNA from 1 species